GCCUGAGUAGCUCAGUGGUUAAGCGUCUGCUUUCAGCUCAGACGGGAUCCCAGCAUCCUGGGAUCAAGUCCCGCAUCAGGCU
rnacentral:tRNA from 1 species